UACGUAGGGUGCGAGCGUUAAUCGGAAUUACUGGGCGUAAAGCGUGCGCAGGCGGUUAUGUAAGGCAGUUGUGAAAUCCCCGGGCUCAACCUGGGAAUUGCAUCUGUGACUGCAUAGCUAGAGUACGGUAGAGGGGGAUGGAAUUCCGCGUGUAGCAGUGAAAUGCGUAGAUAUGCGGAGGAACACCGAUGGCGAAGGCAAUCCCCUGGACCUGUACUGACGCUCAUGCACGAAAGCGUGGGGAGCAAACAG
rnacentral:rRNA from 1 species